rfam:Roseovarius mucosus DSM 17069 Contig116, whole genome shotgun sequence.
AUCCGUGAUGUGUGCGGUUACACACAUGAACCUCCCUGUUGGACUGCCCCGGCCCCUGUGCCGGGGUUUCUUU